UACAGAGGGGGCAAGCGUUGUUCGGAAUUACUGGGCGUAAAGGGCGCGUAGGCGGCCUUCUAAGUCGAACGUGAAAUCCCCGGGCUCAACCCGGGAAUUGCGUCCGAUACUGGAGGGCUUGAAUCCGGGAGAGGAAUGCGGAAUUCCAGGUGUAGCGGUGAAAUGCGUAGAUAUCUGGAGGAACACCGGUGGCGAAGGCGGCAUCCUGGACCGGCAUUGACGCUGAGGCGCGAAAGCGUGGGGAGCAAACAGG
rnacentral:rRNA from 1 species